AAAAUCCUAGGGGAUAGAUCAUUCUUCUCUUCGGUUUAAUCGAUUGCGGCGGUGAAUGAGUUACAGAUUCAUCGCCUUUAUCGCCUUCUUAACUCCGUAACCGAUGUGAACACGAUCUGACAUUAAAUGCAAUUUAACCCUCUGCAAGUCGGUUUAUUUGCGCUUAUAAAAAAAGAAGUCCGGCUGCUGGUCCUCCACCGUCCAAAUAAGAGGAGAUUGAGAUGUAGUGAACAGCUUUGUCGGCUUUCAGGUCUAAAUAAGAGGAGAUCGAGAAGAAGAAGAUGGAUGUUUGGAAAAGGAUUUAAUCUCAGCUUUGUUAUUUAGAAGAAGAGACCUAACGAUUGGCGAGAGCUUGAUCCUGACCAGGGAACUGUCCUCGCUGACAGUAAGGAAGAUAUGUUCUUUGAUGCUCCCGAAGAGUUGAAUUUAAACACACCCAGCAAGAAAGCUCUCACUACAGAAUACGAUGAUGACAAUGGAAAUCGAUUGAUCCUGACCAGGGAUCUGCCUUCGUUGACAGUAAGGAAGAUAUGAUGACAAUGGAAAUUUAUUCAAUAGAUACUUGAUUGUAUCGAUGAGUUAGGUUUACCUACGGAUUGAUCGUGAUCGAAAGGUGAUAAUAUACUCGGCAGCUAGAACUCCUACCCAACAAGGAUCUGGCAAACUUGGCAAAUGGAAGAUCAACUUCGUCUCCACCAAGUGUCUCAUGCCUCCACUGGAAAAACUAUUCCUUUCCUGAAGAGUGUUGGAAGACUCAAGAGAGAGUGUGAGAGAAACAGAGAGUAAGAGAAGUGAGUAAAAAGAAAAGCAUGUUCUGAAUAUUAAACUUAGAUGGUUUCACCGCUAAUAUUUUAUUUUUCUUUUGCGUUGUUUUUAUCCUGGAUGGAGAAAAGAGAGGUUAAUCAAGUGUUGUGAUGCACACGUAAGCUAUCAUUGGAGAACUGCUUAUGCUGUCGGCUGAAAGGCGUGAUUUGCCUCAGGUUUGGAAGAUCAAUAUGGGGAAUAUCCUCUGAGAACGAGUUGUUUGCAAGGUUCAAGACUCUAAGUCUAGCCAAACUUGAAAUUGAGAGGCUGGGAUGGCUCCUUGGCCUUCCCUUGAGUUUAUUUUUAGGAAUAUCAACAACCUUAUGAUUCUUUUUACUCCUAGAAAAUCGCUGGUAGUUGAUCCGAAAAGUAAUUAGGUGUAAGAUAAGAGAUUGUUAGCUUCUUGAGGUUGAAGAUGUAAGAAACUUGCUUUUGUUUUUAUCUGUAACAAAUAAUCCUUUAGAUGGAGAAAUUUUGAAGAUUAGAAAUGUGUUAUAUA